rnacentral:other from 1 species
AUCCCCCUUGGUGUCGUGCGACGCAGAAUCGCUUGAACCUAUAAGUAACAAUACGGGGACGGGGUUAGGGUGUUGUUGUGCAAGCCUGUUUUGAGCAGGAAGCCUGAUAUGCUCUUAGACGUUCCCACCUGAACCUUCGGUUCAGCAAACUGGUUGUACGAUGCUGUUGUUCUGGGGGGUGC